CUACGGGGCGCAGCAGCUAAGAAUAUUCCGCAAUGGACGAAAGUCUGACGGAGCGACGCCGCGUGGAUGAGGAAGGCCGACAGGUUGUAAAGUCCUUUUGUCGACGAAGAAUAAGUGUGGGAGGGAAUGCCCGCAUGAUGACGUUAGUCGGCGAAUAAGCCCCGGCUAAUUACGUGCCAGCAGCCGCGGUAACACGUAAGGGGCAAGCGUUGUUCGGAAUUAUUGGGCGUAAAGGGUGCGUAGGCGGUUCUGUAAGCCUGACGUGAAAUGCUGGGGCUUAACUCCAGAACUGCGUUGGGAACUGUGGGACUAGAGUCAUGGAAGGGGAGUUGGAAUUCCAGGUGUAGGGGUGAAAUCUGUAGAUAUCUGGAAGAACACCGGUGGCGAAGGCGAACUCCUGGCCAAUGACUGGCGCUGAGGUACGAAAGUGCGGGGAGCAAACAGGAUUAGAUACCCCCGUAGUC
rnacentral:rRNA from 1 species